rnacentral:rRNA from 1 species
GACCUGAGAGGGUGAUCGGCCACAUUGGAACUGAGACACGGUCCAAACUCCUACGGGAGGCAGCAGUGGGGAAUAUUGCACAAUGGGCGAAAGCCUGAUGCAGCAACGCCGCGUGAAGGAAGAAGGCCUUCGGGUCGUAAACUUCUGUCCUUGGGGAAGAAAAAAAUGACGGUACCCAUGGAGGAAGCCCCGGCUAACUACGUGCCAGCAGCCGCGGUAAUACGUAGGGGGCAAGCGUUAUCCGGAAUUAUUGGGCGUAAAGAGUGCGUAGGUGGCAACUUAAGUCCAGGGUUUAAGGCAAUGGCUCAACCAUUGUAAGCCCUGGAAACUGGGUUGCUUGAGUGCAGGAGAGGAAAGCGGAAUUCCUAGUGUAGCGGUGAAAUGCGUAGAUAUUAGGAGGAACACCAGUGGCGAAGGCGGCUUUCUGGACUGUAACUGACACUGAGGCACGAAAGCGUGGGGAGCAAACAGGAUUAGAUACCCUGGUAGUCCACGCCGUAAACGAUGAGCACUAGGUGUCGGGGUCGCAAGACUUCGGUGCCGCAGUUAACGCAUUAAGUGCUCCGCCUGGGGAGUACGCACGCAAGUGUGAAACUCAAAGGAAUUGACGGGGACCCGCACAAGCAGCGGAGCAUGUGGUUUAAUUCGAAGCAACGCGAAGAACCUUACCAGGACUUGACAUCCAUCUGACAGGCUCUUAACCGAGCCCUUCUUCGGACAGAUGAGACAGGUGGUGCAUGGUUGUCGUCAGCUCGUGUCGUGAGAUGUUGGGUUAAGUCCCGCAACGAGCGCAACCCUUGCCGUUAGUUGCCAUCAUUAAGUUGGGCACUCUAAUGGGACUGCCGGGGACAACUCGGAGGAAGGUGGGGAUGACGUCAAAUCAUCAUGCCCCUUAUGUUCUGGGCUACACACGUGCUACAAUGGCCGGUACAGAAAGCAGCGAAGUCGUGAGGCGGAGCGAAUCUCCAAAACCGGUCCCAGUUCGGACUGCAGGCUGCAACUCGCCUGCACGAAGCCGGAGUUGCUAGUAAUCGCAGAUCAGAAUGCUGCGGUGAAUGCGUUCCCGGGUCUUGUACACACCGCCCGUCACACCAUGGAAGUUGGGGGUGCCCGAAGCCGGUAAGCAAAUAUACUGUCGAAGGCAAAACCAAUGACUGGGGUGAAGUCGUAACAAGGUAGCCGUAUCGGAAGGUGCGGCUGGAUCA